GGGAAAUCCACUCACACCUUUCAGAACUAUAGUAGCCAUAAUAUUAGUCAAGAGAAACGCAAGGAAAAGGUAAAAUUUAGACAUUGAACUGUGUAAUCCUCAGUCAUUUUAUGAUUAAAGGACCACUAUAGGCACCCAGACCACUUCCGCUCAAUGAAGUGGUCUGGGUGCCAGGUCCAUCUAGGAUUAACCCUUUCUGCUGUAAACAUAGCAGUUUCAGAUGGAUAGAUCAUGCUAUUACCAAAAGCAAUGUCACCCCCAGAAGUAGUGGGAAUGUCUCCAGAAACAAUCACAUUCUCUCUUUUUUUUUCUGUUUUAUGAUUUGUCUUCUUCAUGGCUUGUAAUUGUCUUGUCUUUUUUAAAGGGACACUAUAGUCUGCUAUGUUUACAUUAGGGUUAAUCCCGCCUGUAGUGGCUGUCUCAUUGACAGCCGCUAGAGGCGCUUCCGCGCUUCUCACUGGGGUUUUCACAGUGAGAAGACGCUGCCGUCCAUAGGAAAGCAGUGAGAAUGCUUUCCUAUGAGACUGGCUGAAUGCGCUUGCGGCAGAAGGAGGAGGAGAUUCCCCACCGCUGAGGGAGCCUGGUUCUGGAAAAAGGUAAGAUUUUAACCCCUUCCUCACCCUUGAGCCCGGCGGGAGGGGGUCCUUGAAGGUGGGGGCACCCUCAGGGCUCUAUAGUGCCAGGAAAACGAGUAUGUUUUCCUGGCACUACAGUGAUCCUUUAAGGUCAAAAUCUCAGAUUCCCUUAGACAGGAAGGGAAAUAUGCUUUACAAGAAGCAUCAUGUAAAGAAAGUGGAUUUGGAUCUAUGUACAGAAGAAACCUUGGAGGUUUGUGAGUGUGACUCUGUCACUAAUUCCUGUGUUUCUAAGUUACAUUUGGUGCACUCAUAUAACAAACCUGCUGAUAAGAGAGCCAAAGACAGACAAAACACCAUGACCCAAUAAAAUAAUGGAAGAAGUAUUAUGGGCUCUCCUUGUCUUCCAUUAUUUUAUUGGGGUUUGGUUAUCCCAGAUAUUGUGACACAUGGAGGGAAGCCAUUGUUUAUUCCAGACAAGCUCUGCUAUCUGAGGGCAGCUGGAUGGAUCCUUUCAGAUCACGUGUCCACUACACCGACUUAGUAAGGUAAUGAGAAAUAAAUUAAACGUUGAAAACCUUCAUCCCAUUGUGCCUUCCUAAUAAAGUGGAAGGGAUACCAGAGGUGGACUCUAAAAUGGUCCAGUUCUUUUUAAAUAUAAAUCUAAACAAAAUAGGAGAGUGCAAAUCUUACAAAUAAAUAAAUAUGAAUAAAAAUGUGAGUAAAUUCAGCAGCUAUACACAUAUAAAGAUCCUUAAAAACUUUACACACAAUAUAUAAACAAAAUAAAGUGUCAGCGCUAUACUUGAAAACCUAAUGUAGGUGAUCACUCUCAAUCUGAAGUAAAACACUUAUAAAUGUGGUUUCCUGGACAUACUUCCAAGUGCAAUAAAACAAAAUACAAUAAAACAGACCACCAUAAGUGUAGUACUCAAAUAAUCAUAAAAAGUCUUGCUACAGGGUCCAAUAAAUAUUGGGUGAUGAUCUUUUACAGGGUUAAGAUUAGUCUUGCAGUUAUGUCACAGCAUCUGUAGAUACAUUGUUGCACUGUGGGCUUCUAACCUUGAAAUGAUACAAAAAGACCCAUCAUAGUAGUACUGCAAUUUAAUCAAGUUAACAUACAAAACCCUUACAUCAGCAAGUUGUGGUACUCGUUUCCAAGGUACCACCAUAUAAACUUUAAAAUACAGAGGCUUGGCAGCCGUUACCGUCCGUGCACACUUUUUAAAUACUCUAAACAAUAUGUUAAGAGCUUAGGAAGGGUCUGGAAUCUUCUUUGAGAGCGGGCCAAGAUUAACUUCUUUACAUGUUUAUUACUUAAUCCUAAAAUCUGUGAAGUAGUGGUAAGCAGAUGAUAGAUUAAUUAACAUUAUACAUCAGAUUUUUGGAGAUCUUGACUUGUUGUUUUGUGGUGAGACUUUUCAAGGACAGUGUGAUAAUUUGCACACUCUUGCACAUGGACAACAUGACUGCAAUGCGCUGUAUCAACAACCUCAGGGCACUUAAUCCAAGCCUUUGUGAACCUUAGUCAAGGAUUUCUGUUUGAGAUGGACCAGGCAGAAUAUUUCUCAGGGUAUAGCAAGGCGUAUUGGAAAUCUCUUUAUCUGUUGAUUGGCAUUUAAGUAAGAUUGUUUGAUGCCUUCCUUCAGUAUUGGGGAAAUUGCAUGUUUCUCCCAUUCGCCAUUGCUUGUCUCUCCUACAUGUCAGAUAACAGAAGAUGACCAUUGCCCUAGUUAACCUGUUUUGGAAAUCACAACUGUGGUUUAUAUAUAAGGGCUCAACAAAUCCCUGGUUGCCAUGGCAACUAAGAAUUCUGUCCUAGCACCUGGGUGGUUCUCAACACUGGCCACUUAGGGCCUCCCCACAAAGCUUGCGGCAAGGAAGAUAUCAUCUUCUUGCUCUGCUCCCUGGCACAUUCUGCUUUGAUGCCGUGACGUGACGUCCACUCCGGCCCUGGCAUUACUAAGCAGCAUGUGAGAGAGCAGAGCUAGAUAACAGGAUCAGGGCACUGGAACCAACGAAAAGAUUGCACUCCAGCUCUCAAACGUAGGGAAGCUAGGUUGAUUUAAAUUAAAAUAAUUUAAAAAAAAUAAUUUUUGAGACUGUGCGUGUAUCUGUCAGUGAGUGUGUCGGUUAGUUUGCCUAUUUAGGUGACCAGCCCCCCUCUGAUCAUAUAAGAAAGUUGUUUUAACUCACCGUUUUUCCCCACACGGCUCCGGUUUUGCCGCGGGUGGCCCUGCUUCCAUGGCUGAGAUAAUCAAUCUUGAUGGUCUCGGCCCAUCUGCAGGGACAAGCUAUAGACACCAGAACCACUACAUUGAGUAUCCCUUUAAGAAUUUAGGGACUAAGGAAGGUUCUCUCUUGUACAUUUGUUGGGAGUGUGAUUUAAUUAAACUUUUAUAGUUAAUGGUAUUUGAUAAGUUAAAAUUACUUAUCUAAUUGAAAUUAGAAAAGAGAGCUGGAAACAAUAAUAAUCAUACAUGUUUUAUUUAUUUUUUUGCUGCCAAAAAGAUGCUGAUAUCUGGAAAUUGGAGAUACUCUAGCCCAGUAACCUGGACACAUCUUUAAAAAAAAUCAAGUUUUAUAUUAACUCAAAAUAGAGAAUGGCUUUAGAUGGAUAGAUCAUGCUAUUACCAAAAGCAAUGUCACCCCCAGAAGUAGUGGGAAUGUCUCCAGAAACAAUCACAUUCUCUCUUUUUUUUCUGUUUUAUGAUUUGUCUUCUUCAUGGCUUGUAAUUGUCUUGUCUUUUUUAAAGGGACACUAUAGUCACCCAGACCACUUUACAUCUAAUGGGUUAAAACCUGGGGGACCUGGCACCCAGACCACUUCAUUGAGCUAAACAUAGCAGUUUCAUAGAAACUGCUAUGUUUACAUUGCAGGGUUAGUCCAGCCUCUAGUGGCUGUCUUCCUGACAUCCGCUAGAGGCGCUUCUGCGACGCUGGAUGCGAAAAUCGCAUUCAGCGUGCAGAACGUCCAUAGGAAAGCAUUGAGAAAUGCUUUCCUAUGGACUGUUUGAAUGCGCACACGGCUUUUGCCGUGUAUGCGCAUUCCGCUCCACUUGGGAGCUGACAUCGGCAGGGGAGGAGAGGUCACCAGCGCCGAGGGAGCCUGGCGCUGGAUUAAGGAAAGUGGCUGAAGAGGUUUUAAUCCCAGCUGGAGGGGGACCCUGAGGGUGGGGGAGACCUAAGGGUUAUAUAGUGUCAGGAAAACGAGUUUGUUUUCCUAAUACCAUAGUGAUCCUUUUAAGUUUAAUUGUAAUGUUUGUAAACUAAUGAUAUAUUG
rnacentral:lncRNA from 1 species